ACCUGGCUGGCUCAGUGGGUAGAGCACGUGACUCUUGAUCUCAGGGUCAUGAGUUUAAGCCUCACGUUAGGUG
rnacentral:tRNA from 1 species